rnacentral:rRNA from 1 species
GACGAACGCUGGCGGCGUGCUUAACACAUGCAAGUCGAGCGGAGCGGCGAACGGGUGAGUAACGCGUGAGUAACUGCCCCCCUCUCUGGGAUAACAGUUGGAAACUGCAGCGAAUACCGGAUAGUGGGGGAUGACUCGCGGCCAAUCAGCUUGUUGGUGGGGUAGGGGCCUACCAAGGCGACGAAGGGUAGCCGGCCUGGGAGGGGGACCGGCCACAUUGGGCUGAGGGACGGACCAAACUCCUACGGGGGGCAGCGGUGGGGAGUAUUGCCCACUGGGGGAAACCCUGAUGCAGCAACGCCGCGUGCGGGAUGCCGGCCUUCGGGUUGUAAACCGCUUUCAGCCAUGACGCGGUAGUGGCAGAAGAAGCACCGGCUAACUACGUGCCAGCAGCCGCGGUAAUAC